rnacentral:misc_RNA from 1 species
AAGUCGUAACAAGGUUUCCGUAGGUGAACCUGCGGAAGGAUCAUUAACACGUUUAAUCUUAAACGUUAUUAGUCAACCGUGAACCUUUACAUAAACCCUGUGGUUGGGAUAUUAAGUAGACGAAGCUGAGAAUGCUGUUAGAGGCAACUCUACCAAUCAGUUAGUCGUUUCUAGGUCCGCCCUGGAAGCUUAUACCAAUACACAGCUGAUCGCCACCACGGAUGGGCUGCAGCAUACCUCGCCCUGGUGGCACAAUAUUAACCCUUUUUGUUAUUAAUUUCUGAUUUUUGUCUGUUUAUUGUGAAUUCCUAUCCUUCGGGUUAGUUGAGUUUACUUUAAAUGACAUCAUAUACAUUAAUUCGAAACAACUCUUAGCAACGGAUCUCUUGGUUCUC